rnacentral:rRNA from 1 species
AGAGUUUGAUUCUGGCUCAGGAUGAACGCUGGCGGCGUGCCUAACACAUGCAAGUCGAGCGAUUUACUUCGGUAAAGAGCGGCGGACGGGUGAGUAACGCGUGGGUAACCUGCCCUAUACACACGGAUAACAUACCGAAAGGUAUGCUAAUACGAGAUAAUAUAAGAAAUUCGCAUGUAUUUCUUAUCAAAGCUUUUGCGGUAUAGGAUGGACCUGCGUCUGAUUAGCUAGUUGGUAAGGUAAUGGCUUACCAAGGCGACGAUCAGUAGCCGACCUGAGAGGGUGAUCGGCCACAUUGGAACUGAGACACGGUCCAA